AGUGAACGCUGGCGGUAGGCCUAACACAUGCAAGUCGAACGGCAGCACAGUAAGAGCUUGCUCUUACGGGUGGCGAGUGGCGGACGGGUGAGGAAUACAUCGGAAUCUACUUUUUCGUGGGGGAUAACGUAGGGAAACUUACGCUAAUACCGCAUACGACCUACGGGUGAAGGCAGGGGAUCUUCGGACCUUGCGCGAUUGAAUGAGCCGAUGUCGGAUUAGCUAGUUGGCGGGGUAAAGGCCCACCAAGGCGACGAUCCGUAGCUGGUCUGAGAGGAUGAUCAGCCACACUGGAACUGAGACACGGUCCAGACUCCUACGGGAGGCAGCAGUGGGGAAUAUUGGACAAUGGGCGCAAGCCUGAUCCAGCCAUACCGCGUGGGUGAAGAAGGCCUUCGGGUUGUAAAGCCCUUUUGUUGGGAAAGAAAAGCAGCAGGUUAAUACCCCGCUGUUCUGACGGUACCCAAAGAAUAAGCACCGGCUAACUUCGUGC
rnacentral:rRNA from 1 species